AUUGAACGCUGGCGGCAGGCCUAACACAUGCAAGUCGAACGAGUGGCGGACGGGUGAGUAAUGUCUGGGAAACUGCCCGAUGGAGGGGGAUAACUACUGGAAACGGUAGCUAAUACCGCAUACCAUCAGAUGUGCCCAGAUGGGAUUAGCUAGUGGGUGGGGUAACGGCUCACCUGGGCGACGAUCCCUAGCUGGUCUGAGAGGAUGACCAGCCACACGGGAACUUAGACACGGUCCAGACUCCUACGGUAGGCAGUAGUGGGGAAUAUUGCACAAUGGGCGCAAGCCUGAUGCAGCCAUGCCGCGUGUAUGAAGAAGGCCUUCGGGUUGUAAAGUACUUUCAGCGGGGAGGCGUUACCCGCAGAAGAAGCACCGGCUAACUCCGUGCCAGCAGCCGCGGUAAUAC
rnacentral:rRNA from 1 species